rnacentral:lncRNA from 1 species
AGAUGGGAUGGGCAUACUAAGUAGUAACUACGUACAAUAUAUGAAUACUGAGAUCAAAGAAAUGAUAGGCUAUUUUUUUCCUGCCGAAUGUCCUUAUUUUUGCCAGGCAAUGCUCAUGAAUGAUGGUAAAAGAAUCGAGGAAAUCAAAUUGCUCUGUUUUAAAUAGCACUCCAACCCUUCUCCACAUUCACUUGUGCCUUCCUCAUGGUCCAUGCGCUGAGCUGUGGCACCCUCACCGUGGCACUUCCAUUGUUGAAGGCAUACAUGUGGGCCCUGCCAACAUCGGCGAGCACCGCUGGAUAAACUCUGGACGUGAUGCAAACCCUACCACCACCACCGAAGCUCUCCACCGCCGACCGAUCAAUCUGCAAGGCAGCAUCCAUCCAUCCAUUUUCAACUCUGACAUAUAGGAAGUGAAUAAAAGGAGAAAUAGCAGAGCCUCCUUAGCUUACCAGAGUUCUGAGAGAUAUCUUCCUCUCCUUUGCAAGAUCAAGUUCAAAGAAGCCUCCAUAGGCUGGUGUGUACCGUGAUGGUCUGAUGGAAGACCUGUGCAAAGAAAAGAAAAAAAAUCAAUUCAGUUUUCGGACUUUUAUGGAGAAGACUAGGCAAAAUUAAGUAAAAAAACAUAAGCACUGACCUUCUUAAAUCAGAGCACAUGAGUAUCAUGUACUUUUGCUGUGACUUGUAGACUCUGAAGUGCACGACAGUGUGCUCAUCCAUGUUGUUGGAGGCCAGAAUAACAAGUCCAAAUGGCCCUAUACCACCAUGAACCGAUGCACCGGCUUCACAGCAAUGCUUCUCAGGGUCCAAAAGCCAGGAAGGAUUAAAAGGUUCGGCGGCAUUGAUGGACGUCAGCUCAAAAUAUAUCUCCACAUCAGCCUGUUUCAAGAAAACUUGUGCCUGAUUAGCUACAGUUGUUCUUAAAAAUACACUGACACACCAAAGCUUCAGAAUAUAUACCUAUCCUUCUCCUGAAAAAUGCACUAUACAAAUAAUUAGUAAUUAUCAGAAGGCCCUACAGUUCUUACUGGCAUGACACUUGUCGAAAUAACAUAAAUUCUCCUGAAGACCAAGUAAGCCUGUCUGUGAAAAGGAAACUACCUGAAAAGUGUCAACUCCAUUGAUCUCAAACAUAUCUCCCUUGUUGAGCUCAAGUCCUUGAUGGUUGAUUUCAUUUGUUCGAAGGGACUCAAUCUCAUCAACUGGCCAUUGCAGCAACUGCUUGCCAUUGCUGUCUAGCCAAAUCGUCCUGGGGAUUGUCUAAACAUAAUAGAAAUUGAGCUUAAAUAUGUUACAUUGAUUUGCUAAAUCAAUUAAAUCAUUAUUCCAAUAUGAUUUGAAGCACAGCCAAUUAGGGGCGGAUUUGCUUACAUGGAUUCCUGCCCAACCUUUUGCAACAUCGUCUGAACGACAAUCUGCUUCCUUAGACCAACCCCAUAUGAUCCUCCUGCCCUUUUUCGAGUCGAAGAAUGACUUCGAAGCAUAGAAAUUGCCGUAAUCGAUCUUCAACCACAGCCGACAGUCAUCUACGAUAGUAUCUGGCACAAAGGCAUCACGUUUGAGAUCAUACACCCCAAUCAAGUACUUAUCAAAGUAACCCACGCUCAUUUUGAGGGCAUGCUUGGUUCCUCUUAAGAUUGCUGCGGACAUGUCCAGUCCAGUGUUAUUGCCUGGCAAUACCGCAAAGAAAUCAAGGCACUCCCACAUAUUGCACUCCACAAUAUUGGAUAAGUUCUGUGAAUACAGUGGGUGAUCAACUCUUGUCCAACUAAGAAAGUCUUCACUCUUGUACAAAAGUGCAGCAGUGUAGCUUUUCAGCUCAGCACCAACUGCUAUUCUCCACAGUCCAUCUGGUCCGAUCCAACCGGUCGUCGGAUCCCUGAAUUGGCUUCUGUUCAAACCUGGUACUACCGGUUGGAUCACUGGGUUAUUGCCGGUUUUGGUCCAUUCUCUUAGGUAUGGGUCAGACGGGUUCUUGGGAUGCACAAGGUUUUGGACCUGACACUUGUCUCUGCUGCCACCGGUGUAUAAGAUGACCGGUUGACCACCAGACAGAAUUGUGGCUGAACCGGUCCAGCAGCCAUCUAUGUCACUGGGGUUAUCCGGUUCUAUCACGGGUUCAAGCUGGAUCCAGUUGACAAGGUCUGUCGAAACCGAAUGGCCCCAAGUUAUGUCACCCCAACACCAGAGGGCGCAGUGGGGGUUAUACUGGUAGAAAUUAUGGUAGAUGCCUUUGUAGUACAUUAGUCCUGAAAUAUUUAUAAAGGAAGUAUAAGUUGUAGAAUACUGCAACUCCUUUUUUGUUUAGAGGUGUUUGUGCCUGAGAUACUCAUACCACAUGGAUCUUCCGUGUCGUCGUAGAUUUCCAAGUAUCGCCAAUCCAUCAGAUAUUUGGAAAAAAGUGAGAGAAUGUCAGUUUCAUGCAACAGAUAUAGAAUGAUCCAUGUGGCCAGUUAUGGAAGGGAAAAGCGUCAUACUUUGCCUGACUGAAUUUGGUCUGGCCAAAAGUAACACUGACGGUGGAGCAAAUAUGGACAAUAUGGAAGUGGCAUAAAUCUUGGCGAGAAGGUACAUAGCACUAUUUCUGCAACGAAUACUUCUAUUUAUUUUGCGCAAGCAUCUAUGGCUAUCAUCAUCUUAUGGCAGUAUUACUCAAAGUCUAACAGCAGCAUUCAGCAAGAGACUUGCACAAGCAAUGAGCUGGCCACCAAACUUCUCCAUCGUCUCCAUUCAUUUUUGACACAAAAACGGCAGUUCUGUAAUGAUAAUACUGCCAAAAAUAUUAUGUACUUUAACAAGCAUAUUAUUUAAUACUGGCACACAAAAUUAAGAUUGAGUAGUGUGUUCAACUUGGCUUCUCCACGUGGGCAAGCCACUAAACAAUGAGGUCACAUGAUUUUUCAUGGACCAAGAACAAGAAAAAACACACGAAAGCAGAGUGGCAUACACCAACAGAUGAUCCAGAAAGCAGAGAUGAAUGAAGCCUAAAGGAAAUAAAUAGAGAGGAAACCAAACCAGAGACAUGAUCACAUGAACAUACCAUUGAUCCAGUUCCUGGGAGGCUGGAAGUGGUAGGCAGUCCUGUACCUCGUGCUGACAAUAUAGGGGACCUCUGGAGACUGGGGACAGGGGGAGAUCUCUGGAGACAGUGGACAGAAGGAGACCUCUGGAGACUGUGGACAGAGGGAGCAUCUCCCUCCACUCCCAUUGCUGCUGCUGUUGGAGAAGAAGAGGUUGGGUACAGAGGAGGAGAGGAAGAAGAGGGCAGGGAGGAGGACGAAGACCCAAGGUAGCGCCAUGGUGACAAAAGGAAUGAGAGAGUGAGGAGAGAGGAGAAGAGAUCAAGGAUUUAUGCGGGGGUGUUGUGACAUGUGAAGGCGGCGUCGUUUAAGGAGCUGUUUAGUUAGGUGACACUCAAGAGUCUCUUUCAGAUAGAUUUUUCUGGGGGGGCCUCCGGAGAGUGUGGACAGUCUGGACAGAGGAGGAAUCUCCCUCUUUGCUGCUGCAGAGGAAGAGGCUGCAGGAGGAGGAGGAGAGCAGCGGGGCCGGCGUGGGCUCAAGGUAUUCAUCGCCAUGCUGGAAGAGGCGGUGCCCCGGUUUAGAGAGGAGAUGGAGGAAACGCCAUGGCAGAGAAUGACCACACCGAGACGGGUGCGGUGCGUGUGGGCGGCACACGGGGGCAUAAAGUGCCCGGUCGGCUGGACUUAGCGCCAGUGGGGGAGCCAGGAUUGGCCGCCGCCCCAGGCGAGAAACUAAUGGUCAAAAAACACCUACAACCCAAUUUUAAGGCAUACAAAAGUCAAACUAUGUUGCAUGACAAACCAGAUCUGAAACACAAUAUUCAUGGCAGUAUUUGUUCAAUGAUGGUUCAACUCAUAUAGUAAAACAUAUAAAAAAUGAUAUAUUGAUCUGAGCUUACCAUGAGUACAUCUUCAAUUGUAGAAAAAGAUAAGCCUUCAAUGAUUUGAAAUGCAAAUCAGUACAUCUUCAAUAGACAUAAUACGAGGAAGUUUAUCAAUUGUCUGAGUUAAAGGACCUGUUCCCGUGGCUCCCGAGGUCUGAACUUGAAAAACAGAAUGUCACUGUCUUGUUUCUCUUACUCAUUUAGCCUUCCUGUAAAAUUACAUAGAAACAAAAGUGCUAAAUCGGUUUCAACAUUUACAAAACUGCAGAAUUACAAGACUAAGGGAAGGAAACAACAUCGAAUUUCAACCAAGUUACCAAACAGUGGCAUUUGCUAGCGGGAUUGAGAUGAGCAGCAGGGAUACCUUGGCUUUGCGUGCGAGCUGCCGUGGCGGAAUUGGACUGGGCGCCGGGCGCCGGGGUUGCUCCUCUCCUCGAGACCUGGACUGGACGAACAGGGUGAUCGCCGCCUCGCCGGGGCAGCAGCCUGCAGAGGAAGCUGUCAACCAAGAUUCCAGGAAGGAGAAGGGGAGGACUGGACUGCCCUCAGCCGCACGGGGCUGGCCGGCUGGGCAUGGCGAACGGAUAAUGGGUAGGCCGCGGCGGGGCACGGCGGCCGGCGGCGAGCGUGUGGCGGCAGGCAGGCGGUAGCCCAGGCAGGGUAGGGUUAUUUUCUUUCUCGUCAGAGUACUCGCGCAGGCGCAGCCGCACGGUCGCACUGCUUUCCUUUUUUUGAUCACUGUGUAUUAUUGGGCUGAGUCUCAGGUCCAGCUAGGAUUAGAAGUGGGCUGCGCCCCAGGCCGAAUUCCUGUUUUCUAGAUAUAGGGCUGGGCAGACUCAAGAAAAAAAAGAUAUAGGGCUGGGAAAAUUUCUGACGGAUCAGGCCAUUGCCUGGGCCCAGCUCCACCGUUGCUUAGCGCCGUAGCCGUGGUUGAACGCGACGCCGUACCGCGUCGGCAGAAUGGAGCCGAGGUGGAGCACCAUGAGCGGCACUGCGUGCCUGGCGGCGAGCGCGUCGAGAGCUUUGGCGGCCUGGAGUGGGGAGACUGACCUGAAGAUGUUCGACGGAAUGCCGCACUAAGGUAUUCCCACUUGACCCUAAAAAAAAGUAUUCCCACUUGACCCGGCAUAUCGCAAAAUAUAUCAUCAUAAAAAAAAAUCUAUAUCUAUACAUAAUUCCAUCUCCACCUAAUAAUAAAAAACUACUACUUCCGUUCAUCCGUCUUAAAAUUACCUCUGAAGUUGACACAAAUUAUCCACUAUGCCACCUAUAAGUGGAAAAGCAAUCCGCUCCGCUACAUGGACCUUUUUUGGGUUUAUAUACUGUGUGAUCCCUAACUAAACACAACAACACAACCAGCCCACUAGCCAGAUCCUUACUCCACCACCCAGAUGACCUGAUUUCAACCGUAGCCCCUCUUCUUUUUCUUUUUCACUUCUCCUUUAUUUAAAUUCAAAUACUUUUAAAAAUAUUUAUAUCUUUUUAACCCUAACUCCAAAUCUAACAUGUUGUAUGUGAAAAUCGCUCAGAAAAAUAUGUAGAUUUCGAAUAUGCUAUUAUCUUGCAUGUUACUCAUUUCUAGAAUAAAGCUUAUGAUGCAACCUUAAUUACUUCUCUAUAUAGGGUAUUUUAGAAAUGCCUAUUACAUAUGUAUCCUAUCCCAUUUAACUUGAGUAGAUAUGAUUGUUUAAUGCUCUCACAAAAGAUAGUAUUGGCACUAUAAGGGGUGUUGAUUCCUACUAGCUACCAUAUGCUAAAGCUUACAAUUGGUACAUAGUCAUUCGAUUUCCUAUCGCGUUGUGACGCCCGCGAUUUAAUCGUACACUAAUCAUGCACGCAAACGUGUACGAUCAAGAUCAGGGACUCACGGGAAGAUAUCACAACACAACUCUAAAAACAUAAAUAAGUCAUACAAGCAUCAUAAUACAAGCCAGGGGCCUCGAGAGCUUGAAUACAAGUGCUGAUCAUAGACGAGUCAGCGGAAGCAACAAUAUCUGAGUACAAACAUAAGUUAAACAAGUUUGCCUUAAGAAGGCUAGCACAAACUGGGAUACAGAUCAAAAGAGGCGCAGACCUCCUGCCUGGGAUCCUCCUAAACUACUCCUGGUCGUCGUCAGCGGCCUGCACGUAGUAGUAGGCACCUCCAGUGUAGUAGGAGUCGUCGUCGAUGGUGGCGUCUGGCUCCUGGGCUCCAGCAUCUGGUUGCGACAACCGAGAGGAAAAGAAAGGGGGAAAAGCAACCGUGAGUACUCAUCCAAAGUACUCGCAAGCAAGGAUCUACACUACAUAUGCAUGGGUAUCUGCGUAAAGGGGCAAUAUCGGUGGACUGAACUGCAGAAUGCCAGAAUAAGAGGGGGUACCUAGUCCAGUCAAAGACUACGCUUCUGGCAGCCUCCAUCUUGCAGCAUGUAGAAGAGAGUAGAUGGUAAGUUCACCAAGUAGCAUCGUAUAGCAUAAUCCUACCCGGCAUCCCCUCCUCGUCGCCCUAUGAGAGAGUGACCACCGGGUUGUAUCUGGCACUUGAAAGGGUGUGUUUUAUUAAGUAUCCGGUUCUAGUUGUCAUAAGGUCAAGGUACAACUCCGGGUCGCCUGUUACUGUGACACGGCUAUUCGAAUAGAUCAACUUCCCUGCAGGGGUGUGUUGGGGAACGUAGCAAUAAUUCAAAAUUUUCCUACGUGUCACCAAGAUCAAUCUAGGAGAUGCUAGCAACGAGAGAGAGGAAGUGCAUCUUCAUACCCUUGAAGAUCGCUAAGCGGAAGCGUUACAAGAACGCGGUUGAUGGAGUCGUACUCGCGGCGAUUCAAAUCGCGGAAGAUCCGAUCUAGCGCCGAACGGACGGCGCCUCCGCGUUCAACACACGUACAGCCCGGGGACGUCUCCUCCUUCUUGAUCCAGCAAGGGGAGAUGAGAAGUUGAGGGAGAACUCCAGCAGCACGACGGCGUGGUGGCAAUGGAGCUCGUGGUUCUCCGGCAGAGCUUCGCUAAGCACUACGGAGGAGCAGGAGGAGUUGGAGGAGGAGAGGGCUGCGCCAGGCCAGGGGGUGCGGUGCCCUCCCACCCCCCUCUAUUUAUAGGGGCAAGGGAGAGGGGGGCCGGCCCCCUCCAGAUGGAUCUAGAGGGGGCGGCGGCCAAGGGGGGAGGCUUGCCCCCCAAGCCAAGGGGGGCGCCCCCUUUAGGGUUUCCCCCAACCCUAGGCGCAUGGACCCUAGGGGGGUUUGGUGCCCAGCCCACCUAGGGGCUGGUUCCCCUCUAUAUUCAGCCCAUAGGGCCCUCCGGGGCAGCUGGACCCUCCUGGUGGACCCCCGGAACCCUUUCGGUGGUCCCGGUACAAUACCGAUAUACCCCCGAACACUUCCGGCGACCGAAUAAGGACUUCCCAUAUAUAAAUCUUCAUCUCCGGACCAUUCCGGAACUCCUCGUGACGUCCGGGAUCUCAUCCGGGACUCUGAACAACCUUCGGUAACCACAUACUAUUUCCCAUAACAACUCUAGCGUCACCGAACCUUAAGUGUGUAGACCCUACGGGUUCGGGAACCAUGCAGACAUGACCGAGACACCUCUCCGGCCAAUAGCCAUAUUGGCUCCCACAUGUCCCACGAUGAUCUCAUCGGAUGAACCACGAUGUCGGGGAUUCAAUCAAUCCCGUAUACAAUUCCCUUUGUCCAUCGGUAUGUUACUUGCCCGAGAUUCGAUCGUCGGUAUCCCAAUACCUCGUUCAAUCUCGUUACCGGCAAGUCUCUUUACUCGUUCCGUAACGCAUGAUCCCGUGGCUAACUCAUUAGUCACAUUGAGCUCAUUAUGAUGAUGCAUUACCGAGUGGGCCCAGAGAUACCUCUCCGUCAUACGGAGUGACAAAUCCCAAUCUCGAUUCGUGCCAACCCAACAGACACUUUCGGAGAUACCUGUAAUGCACCUUUAUAGCCACCCAGUUACGUUGUGACAUUUGGUACACCCAAAGCAUUCCUACGGUAUCCGGGAGUUGCACAAUCCCAUGGUCUAAGGAAACGAUACUUGACAUUAGAAAAGCACUUAGCAAACGAACUACACGAUCUUGUGCUAUGCUUAGGAUUGGGUCUUGUCCAUCACAUCAUUCUCCUGAUGAUGUGAUCCCGUUAUCAAUGACAUCCAAUGUCCAUGGUCAGGAAACCAUAACCAUCUAUUGAUCAACGAGCUAGUCAACUAGAGGCUUACUAGGGACAUGUUGUGGUCUAUGUAUUCACACAUGUAUUACGGUUUCCAGUUAAUACAAUUAUAGCAUGAACAAUAGACAAUUAUCAUGAACAAGGAAAUAUAAUAAUAACCAUUUUAUUAUUGCCUCUAGGGCAUAUUUCCAACAGUCUCCCACUUGCACUAGAGUCAAUAAUCUAGUUCACAUCACUAUGUGAUUGUAAUGAAUCCAACACCCAUGGGGUUUGUUCAUAUCUCGCUUGUGAGAGAGGUUAUUAGUCAACGGGUCUGAACCUUUCAGAUCCGUGUGUGCUUUACAAAUCUCUAUGUCAUCUUGUAGAUGCAGCUACCACACGCUACUUGGAGCUAUUCCAAAUAACUGCUCUACUAUACGAAUCCGGUUUACUACUCAGAGUCAUCCGGAUUAGUGUCAAAGUUUGUAUCGACGUAACCCUUUACGACGAACUCUUUUAUCACCUCCAUAAUCGAGAAAAUUCCUUAGUCCACUAGUUACUAAGGAUAAGUUCGACCGCUGUCAUGUGAUCCAUUCCUGGAUCACUAUUGUACCCCUUGACUAACUCAUGGCAAGGCACACUUCAGGUGCGGUACAUAGCAUAGCAUAUUGUAGAGCCUACGUCUAAAGCAUAGGGGACGACCUUCGUCCUUUCUCUCUCUUCUGCCGUGGUCAGGUCUUGAGUCUUACUCAAUACUCACACCUUGUAACACAGCCAAGAACUCCUUCUUUGCUGUCUAUUUUGAACUCCUUCAAAAUCUUGUCACGGUAUGUAUUCAUUUGAAAGUACUAUUAAGCGUUUUUGAUCUAUCCUUAUAGAUCUUGAUGCUCAAUGUUCAAGUAGCUUAAUCCAGGUUUUCCAUUGAAAAACACUUUUCAAAUAACCCUCUAUGCUUUCCAGAAAUUCUACAUCAUUUCUGAUCAACAAUAUGUUAACAACAUAUACUCAUCAAAAAUUCUAUAGUGCUCCCACUCACUUCUUUGGAAAUACAAGUUUCUCAUAAACUUUGUAUAAACCCAAAAUCUUUGAUCAUCUCAUCAAAGCGUACAUUCCAACUCCGAGAUGCUUACUCCAGUCCUUAGAAGGAUUGCUGGAGCUUUGCAUACUUGUUAGCAUCUUUCAGGAUUGACAAAACUUCUGGUUGUAUCACAUACAACCUUUCCUCAAGAAAAUCGUCGAGGAAACAAUGUUUUGACAUCCCAUCUGCAAGAUUUCAUAAAUAAUGCAGUAACUGCUAAUAUAAUUCCAACAGACUCUUAGCAUCGCUACGAGUGAGAAAGUCUCAUCGUAGUCAACUCCUUGAACUUAUCAGAAAACAUCUUAACGACAAGUCGAGCUUUCUUAAUGGUGACACUUACCAUCAUUGUCCGUCUUCCUUUUAAAAUCCAUCUGCACCCAACAGCCUUACGACCAUCAAGUAGUUCUUCCAAAGUCUAUAUUUUGUUUUUAUACAUGGAUCCUCUCUCGGAUUUUAUGGCCUCGAGCCAUUCGACGAAAUCUGGGCCCACCAUCGCUUCUCCAUAGCACGUAGGUUCAUUGUUGUCUAGCAACAUGACUUCCAAGACAGGAUUACGUACCACUCUGAAGUAGUACGCAUCCUUGUCGACCUACGAGGUUUGGUAGUGACUUGAUCUGAAGUUUCAUGAUCACUCUCAUAAGCUUCCACUUCAAUUGGUGUAGGUGCCACAGGAACAACUUCCUGUGCCCUCCUACACACUAGUUGAAGUGACGGUUCAAUAACCUCAUCAAGUCUCCACCAUCCUCCCACUCAAUUCUUUCGAGAGAAACUUUUCCUCGAGAAAGGAACCGUUUCUAGAAACAAUCACUUUUGCUUCCAGAUCUGAAAUAGGAGGUAUACCCAACUGUUUUGGGUAUUCUAUGAAGAUGCAUUUAUCCGCUUUGGGUUCGAGCUUAUCAGCUUGAAACUUUUUCACAUAAGCGUCGCAGCCCCAAACUUUUAAGAAACGACAGCUUAGGUUUCUCUAAACCAUAGUUCAUAUGGUGUCGUCUCAACGGAAUUGCAUGGUGCCCUAUUUAAAGUGAAUGCGGUUGUCUCUAAUGCCUAGCCCAUAAAUGAUAGCGGUAAUUCGAUAAGAGACAUCAUGGUAUGCACCAUAUCCAAUAGGGUGCAGUUAUGAUGUUCGGACACACCAUCACACUACGGUGUUCCAGGCGGUAUUAGUUGUGAAACAAUUUCCACAAUGUCUUAAUUGUGUGCCAAACUCGUAACUCAGAUAUUCAUCUCUAUGAUCAUAUCACAGACAUUUUAUCCUCUUGUCACGACGAUCUUCAACUUUACUCUGAAAUUACUUGAACCUUUCAAUAAUUCAGACUUGUGUUUCAUCAAGUAAAUAUACUCAGCAUCUACUCAAAUCAUCUGUGAAGUAAGAACAUAACGAUAUCCACUGCAUGCCUCAGCACUCAUUGGACUGCACACAUCAAAAUGUAUUACUUCCAACAAGUUGCUUUCUUGUUCCAUCUCACUGAAAACGAGGCCUUUCAGUCAUCUUGCCCAUGUGGUAUGAUUUGCAUGUCUCAAGUGAUUCAAAAUCAAGUGAGUCCAAACAAUCCAUCUGUAUGGAGUUUCUUCAUGCAUUAUACCAAUAGACAUGGUUCGCAUGUCUCAAUCUUUUAAAAAACGAGUGAGUCCAAAGAUCCAUCAACAUGGAGCUUCUUCAUGCGUUUUAUACCAAUAUGACUCAAGUGGCAGUGCCACAAGUAUGUGGUACUAUCAUUACUAUCUUAUAUCUUUUGGCAUGAACAUGUGUAUCACUACGAUCGAGAUUCAAUAAACCAUUCAUUUUAGGUGCAAGACCAUUGAAGGUAUUAUUCAAAUAGACAGAGUAACCAUUAUUCUCCUUAAAUGAAUAACCGUAUUGCGAUAAACAUAAUCCAAUCAUGUCUAUGCUCAACGCAAACACCAAAUAACAAUUAUUUAGGUUUAACACCAAUCUCGAUGGUAGAGGGAGCAUGCGAUGCUUGAUCACAUCAACCUUGGAAACACUUCCAACACAUAUCGUCAUCUCACCUUUAGCUAGUCUCCGUUUAUUCCGUAGCCUUUUAUUUCGAGUUACCAACACUUAGCAACCGAACCGGUAUCUAAUACCCUGGUGCUACUAGGAGUACUAGUAAAGUACACAUUAAUAUAAUGUAUAUCCAAUAUACUUCUGUCGACCUUGCCUGCCUUCUCAUCUACCAAGUAUCUAGGGUAGUUCUGCUUCAGUGACCGUUCCCCUCAUUACAGAAGCACUUAGUCUCGGGUUUGGGUUCUACCUUGGGUUUCUUCACUAGAGCAACAACUGAUUUGCCGUUUCAUGAAGUAUCCCUUCUUUCCCUUGCCUUGAAACUAGUGGUUUUACUAACCAUCAACAAUUGAUGCUCCUACUUGAUUUCUACUUUCGCGGUGUCAAACAUCGCGAGUUGCUCAAGGAUCAUCAUGUCUAUCCCUGAUAUGUUAUAGUUCAUCACGAAGCUCUAAUAGCUUGGUGUCAGUGACUAUGGAGAACCAUCACUAUCUCAUCUGGAAGAUUUACUCCCAUUCGAUUCAAGCGAUUGUAGUACUCAAACAAUCUGAGCACAUGCUCAACGAUUGAGCUUUUCUCCCUUAGUUUGCAGGCUUAAGAAACUUGUCAGAGGUCUCAUACCUCUUGACGUGGGCACUAGUCUGAAAUCCCAAUUUCAAUCUUUGGAACAUCUCAUAUGUUCUGUGACAUUUCAAAACCGUCUUUGGUGCCACAAUUUUAAACCGUUAGCAUUACGCACUGAACUAUCACGUAGUCAUCAAAACGUGUAUGUCAGAUGUUUCGCAACAUCUACAGACGACGCCCGAGGUUCAGCACACCGAGCGGUGCAUUAUGGACAUAAGCCUUCUGUGCAGCAAUGAGGACAAUCCUCAAUAUACGGACCCAGUCCGCAUAAUUGCUACUGUCAACUUUCAACUAAAUUUUCUCUAGGAACAUAUCUUAAACAGUAGAACUAAAGCGUAAGCUAUGACAUAAUUUGCAAAGACAUUUUGACUAUGUUCAUGAUAAUUAAGUUCAUGUGAUUAUUUAAUGAACUCUCACUUAGAUAGACAUCCCUCUAGUCAUCUAAGUGAUACAUGAUCCGAAUCGACUAGACCGUGUCCGAUCAUCACGUGAGACGGACUAGUCAUCAACGGUGAACAUCUCCAUGUUGAUCGUAUCUACUAUACGACUCAUGUUCGACCUUUCGGUCUCUUGUGUUCCGAGGCCAUGUCUGUACAUGCUAGGCUCGUCAAGUCAACCUAAGUGUUUCGCAUGUGUAAAUCUGGCAUACACCCGUUGUAUGCGAACGUUAGAAUCUAUCACACCCGAUCAUCACGUGGUGCUUCGAAACAACGAACCUUCGCAACGGUGCACAGUUAGGGGGAACACAUCUCUUGAAAUUUUAUUGAGAGAUCAUCUAAUUUAUGCUACCGUCAUUCUAAGCAAAUAAGAUGUAAACAUGACAAACAUCACAUGCAAAUCAUAAAGUGACAUGAUAUGGCCAGUAUCAUCUUGCGCCUUUUGAUCUCCAUCUUCAAGGCGCGGCAUGAUCACCUUCGUCACCGGCAUGACACCACAAUCUCCAUCAUCGUGUCUUCAUGAAGUUGUCUCGCCCACUAUUACUUCUACUACUAUGGCUAACGGUUAGCAAUAAAGUAAAGUAAUUACAUGGCGUUUUUCAUUGACACGCAGGUCAUACAAUAAAUUAAGACAACUCCUAUGGCUCCUGCCGGUUGUCAUACUCAUUGACAUACAAGUCGUGAUUCCUAUUACAAGAACAUGAUCAAUCUCAUACAUCACAUAUAUAUAAUUCAUCACAUCCUUUUGGCCAUAUCACAUCACAUAGCAUACCCUGCAAAAACAAGUUAGACAUCCUCUAAUUGUUGUUGCAUGUUUUACGUGGCUGCUAUGGGUUUCUAGAAAGAACGUUUCUUACCUACGCAAAAGCCACAACGGUGAUAUGCCAAUUGCUAUUUACCCUUCAUAAGGACCCUCUUCAUCGAAUCCGAUCUGACUAAAGUGGGAGAGACAGACACCCGCUAGCCACCUUAUGCAUCAAGUGCAUGUCAGUCGGUGGAACCUGUCUCACGUAAGAGUACGUGUAAGGUCGGUCCGGGCCGCUUCAUCCCACAAUGCCGCCGAAUCAAGAUAAGACUAGUAACGGUAAGCAAAUUGAACAAAUCAUCGCCCACAACUACUUUGUGUUCUACUCGUGCAUAGAAUCUACGCAUAGACCAAUCUAGGAGAUAAUAAUUCAAAAUUGUUGGAGAUAAUAAUCUAGUAACGGUAAGCAAAUUGAACAAAUCAUCGCCCACAGCUCAUGAUGCCACUGUUGGGGAACGUAGCAAUAAUUCAAAAUUUUCCUACGUGUCACCAAGAUCAAUCUAGGAGAUGCUAGCAAUGAGAGAGAGGGAGUGCAUCUUCAUACCCUUGAAGAUCGCUAAACGGAAGCGUUACAAGAACGCUAUUGAUGGAGUCGUACUCGCGGCGAUUCAAAUCGCGGAAGAUCCGAUCUAGCGCCGAACGGACGACGCCUCCGCGUUCAACACACGUACAGCCCGGGGACGUCUCCUCCUUCUUGAUCCAGCAAGGGGAGAGGUGAAGUUGAGGGAGAACUCCAGCAGCACGACGGCGUGGUGGUAAUGGAGCUCGUGGUUCUCCGGCAGAGCUUCGCUAAGCACUACGGAGGAGAAGGAGGAGUUGGAGGAGGAGAGGGCUGCGCCAGGCCAGGGGGUGCGGCUGCCCUCCCACCCCCUCUAUUUAUAGGGGCAAGGGAGAGGGGCGCCGGCCCCCUCCAGAUGGAUCUAGAGGGGGGGCGGCCAAGGGUGGGAGGCUUGCCCCCCAAGCCAACGGNNNNNNNNNNNNNNNNNNNNNNNNNNNNNNNNNNNNNNNNNNNNNNNNNNNNNNNNNNNNNNNNNNNNNNNNNNNNNNNNNNNNNNNNNNNNNNNNNNNNNNNNNNNNNNNNNNNNNNNNNNNNNNNNNNNNNNNNNNNNNNNNNNNNNNNNNNNNNNNNNNNNNNNNNNNNNNNNNNNNNNNNNNNNNNNNNNNNNNNNNNNNNNNNNNNNNNNNNNNNNNNNNNNNNNNNNNNNNNNNNNNNNNNNNNNNNNNNNNNNNNNNNNNNNNNNNNNNNNNNNNNNNNNNNNNNNNNNNNNNNNNNNNNNNNNNNNNNNNNNNNNNNNNNNNNNNNNNNNNNNNNNNNNNNNNNNNNNNNNNNNNACCUAGGGGCUGGUUCCCCUCUAUAUUCAGCCCAUAGGGCCCUCCAGGGCAGGUGGACCCUCCCGGUGGACCCCCGGAACCCUUUCGGUGGUCCCGGUACAAUACCGAUAUAUACCCCCGAACACUUCCCGCGACCGAAUAAGGACUUCCCAUAUAUAAAUCUUCGUCUCCGGACCAUUCCGAAACUCCUCGUGACGUCCGAGAUCUCAUCCGGGACUCCGAACAACCUUCGGUAACCACAUACUAUUUCCCAUAACAACUCUAGCGUCACCGAACCUUAAGUGUGUAGACCCUACGGGUUCGGGAACCAUGCAGACAUGACCGAGACACCUCUCCGGCCAAUAACCAAUAGUGGGAUCUGGAUACCCAUAUGGGCUCCCACAUGUUCCACGAUGAUCUCAUCGGAUGAACCACGAUGUCGGGGAUUCAAUCAAUCCCGUAUACAAUUCCCUUUGUCCAUCGGUAUGUUACUUGCCCGAGAUUCGACCGUCGGUAUCCCAAUACCUCGUUCAAUCUCGUUACCGGCAAGUCUCUUUACUCGUUCCGUAAUGCAUGAUCCCGUGGCUAACUCAUUAGUCACAUUGAGCUCAUUAUGAUGAUGCAUUACCGAGUGGGCCCAGAGAUACCUCUCCGUCAUACGGAGUGACAAAUCCCAGUCUCGAUUCGUGCCAACCCAACAGACACUUUCGGAGAUACCUGUAAUGCACCUUUAUAGCCACCCAGUUACGUUGUGACGUUUGGUACACCCAAAGCAUUCCUACGGUAUCCGGGAGUUGCACAAUCUCAUGGUCUAAGGAAACGAUACUUGACAUUAGAAAAGCUCUUAGCAAACGAACUACACGAUCUUGUGCUAUGCUUAGGAUUGGGUCUUGUCCAUCACAUCAUUCUCCUAAUGAUGUGAUCCAGUUAUCAAUGACAUCCAAUGUCCAUGGUCAGGAAACCAUAACCAUCUAUUGAUCAACGAGCUAGUCAACUAGAGGCUUACUAGGGACAUGUUGUGGUCUAUGUAUUCACACAUGUAUUACGGUUUCCAGUUAAUACAAUUAUAGCAUGAACAAUAGACAAUUAUCAUGAACAAGGAAAUAUAAUAAUAACCAUUUUAUUAUUGCCUCUAGGGCAUAUUUCCAACAGGGUGCACCACAUUACCCGACACGCUCGAUCCCUCUGGCCGGGCACACUUUCCUGGGUCAUGUCUGGCCUCGGGAGAUCAACACGUCGCAGCCCUACCUAGGCUCAACAGAGAGGUCAGCACGCUGGUCUAAAUCCCAUGCGCGCAGGGGUCUGGGCCCAUCGCCCAUUGCACACCUGCAUGUUGCGAACACGGCCGGAAGCAGACCUAGCCCCUGAUACGUCUCCAACGUAUCUAUAAUUUUUGAUUGCUCCAUGCUAUAUUAUCUUCUGUUUUGGACAUUAUUGGGCUUUAUUAUUCACUUUUAUAUUAUUUUUGGGACUAACCUAUUAAUCGGAGGCCCAGCCCAGAAUUGUUGUUUUUUGCCUAUUUCAGAGUUUUGCAGAAAAAGGAUAUCAAACGGAGUCCAAACGGAAUGAAACCUUCGGGAGCGUGAUUUUUGGAACGAACAAGAUCCAGGAGACUUGGACCCUACGUAAGAGAAGCUUCCAGGAGGCCACGAGGUAGGGGGCGCGCCUACCCCCCAGGGCGCGCCCUCCACCCUCGUGGGCCCCCUGUUGCUCCACCGACGUACUCCUUCCUCCUAUAUAUACCUACGUACCCCCAAACGAUCAGAACAGGAGCCAAAAACCUAAUUCCACUGCCGCAACCUUCUGUACCCACGAGAUCCCAUCUUGGGGCCUGUUCCGGAGCUCCGCCGGAGGGGGCAUCCAUCACGGAGGGCUUCUACAUCAACACCAUAGCCUCUCCGAUGAAGUGUGAGUAGUUUACCUCAGACCUUCGGGUCCAUAGUUAGUAGCUAGAUGGCUUCUUCUCUCUUUUUGGAUCUCAAUACAAUGUUCUCCCCCUCUCUCGUGGAGAUCUAUUUGAUGUAAUCUUCUUUUUGCGGUGUGUUUGUUGAGACCGAUGAACUGUGGGUUUAUGAUCAAGAUUAUCUAUGAACAAUAUUUGAAUCUUCUCUGAAUUCUUUUAUGUAUGAUUGGUUAUCUUUGCAAGUCUCUUCGAAUUAUCAGUUUGGUUUGGCCUACUAGAUUGAUCUUUCUUGCAAUGGGAGAAGUGCUUAGCUUUGGGUUCAAUCUUGCGGUGUCCUUUCCCAGUGACAGUAGGGGCAGCAAGGCACGUAUUGUAUUGUUGCCAUCGAGGAUAACAAGAUGGGGUUUUUUAUCAUAUUGCAUGAAUUUAUCCCUCUACAUCAUGUCAUCUUGCUUAAGGCGUUACUCUGUUUUCAUGAACUUAAUACUCUAGAUGCAUGCUGGAUAGCGGUCGAUGAGUGGAGUAAUAGUAGUAGAUGCAGGCAGGAGUCGGUCUACUUGGCUCGGACGUGAUGCCUAUAUACAUGAUCAUACCUAGAUAUUCUCAUAACUAUGCUCAAUUCUGUCAAUUGCUCAACAGUAAUUCGUUCACCCACCAUAAAAUACUUAUGCUCUUGAGAGAAGCCACUAGUGAAUCCUAUGGCCCUCGGGUCUAUCUUCAUCAUAUUAAUCUCCCAACACUUAUUUAUUUCCUUUGCUUUUAUUUUACUUUGCAUCUUAUCAUAAAAAUACCAAAAAUAUUAUCCUAUCAUAUCUAUCAGAUCUCACUCUCGUAAGUGACCGUGAAGGGACUGACAACCCCUUAUCGCGUUGGUUGCGAGGAUUUAUUUGUUUUGUGUAGGUACGAGGGACUCGCGUGUAGCCUCCUACUGGAUUGAUACCUUGGUUCUCAAAAACUGAGGGAAAUACUUACGCUACUUUGCUGCAUCACCCUUUCCUCUUCAAGGGAAAACCUACGUAGUGCUCAAGAGGUAGCAAGAAGGAUUUCUGGCGCCGUUGCCGGGGAGGUCUACGCAAAAGUCAACAUACCAAGUACCCAUCACAAUCCCUUAUCUCCCGCAUUACAUUAUUUGCCAUUUGCCUCUCGUUUUCCUCUCCCCCACUUCACCCUUGCCGUUUUAUUCGCCCUCUCUUUUCCUUUUGCCUUUUUCUCGUUUGCUUGCCGUUAUGGCUAGUCUUCUAUCUUCUCCGUUGUCUCCCGAGAAUGAAGUUCUAAAUUUUAAGCAAAGGGAGGGAGAAAAUCUAAAAGACGCUUGGUAUAGAAUUUGCAAUGCUCAAAAUAGAUCUACCAGGAAGCAAUCUACUUCCGUUCUUCUCCGCAAUUUUUAUGUAGGUGCUAAUCAUUGGUAUAGAUAUAUCCUUGAUACCAUUACCGGAGGGAAUUUCUUGGGUAGCCAUACUUCUGAUUCUUAUAAUGCUAUGAUAGAUUUGUUUGGCUCACCGCCCCUUUUGGUUAAUGGAACUAUGUUAACUUUGGAGCAUGUAAUGCAAAGACUUGAAAUUAUUGAAAAUAAGGUUGCUACCAUAGAGUUAAUUGAAAAUUUGGAUAAAAAGAUCCACAACCGAAUCACUCAAUAUGGAUCUAAAGUAGGAGUCACCUUGAAAAAUAUUAAAGAAAAGGAACCCAUAGUUAAUGAGAAAAUAAAUCAGGAUUCCACUAGGAUCGAUAAACUUGAGGAUAUCAUUACCAACUUGGGAACCGCUUUUUCUUCCGUUAAGAAUACUCCAAGUCCUCCUACUAAAAUUGCCAAGCUUAUGUAUGUUCCUAAAAAUAAGGGUGAAUCCUCUAGCAAGGAAACUGCGGAUCUCAAAUCUAUAAGUAUUCAUCCCAAUCUUUUUGCUAUCAUUAAGGAACCAUUUAUUGCAAAUGAAUUUUUCGAUCUUGUGCCUAAAAGUUUGAUAAUCAAUAAAAAGAAAGAAAUUCCUAAAGAUGGGAGAUGCCUCAUUGAAGAAUUGCCUACCAAAGAUGGCAAUACCUAAGAUCUAUCCUUGCUUUUAUGCCUAGCUAGGGGCGUUAAACGAUAGCGCUUUUUGGGAGGCAACCCAAUUUUAUUUUUUAGUUUUUUUUUUCUUUUGCUUCUGUUUAGGAAUAAAUAUUUGUUCUAGCCUCUGAUUAGAUGUGUUUUUAUGUUUUAAUUAGUGUUUGUGCCAAGUUAAACCUAUAGGAUCUUCUUGGAUGAUAUUUAUUUGAUCUUGCAGAAAUUUCCAGAAACUUUCUGUUCACGAAAAAAAUUGUUAAACAUCACCAGAACGUGAUAAAAUACUGAUUCCAAUUGCUGCUGAUCAAUAAACAAAUUGUCUAGGUCGUCCUAUUUUUGCUGAUGUUUUGGAGUUCCAGAAGUUUUCAUUAGUUACAGAUUACUACAGACUGUUCUGUUUUUGACAGAUUCUGUUUUUCGUGUGUUGUUUGCUUAUUUUGAUGAAUCUAUGGCUAGUAAAAUAGUUUAUAAACCAUAGAGAAGUUGGAAUACAGUAGGUUUAACACCAAUAUAAAUAAAGAAUGAGUUCAUUACAGUACCUUGAAGUGGUCUUUUGUUUUCUUUCGCUAACGGAGCUCACGAGAUUUUCUGUUAAGUUUUGUGUUGUGAAGUUUUCAAGUUUUGGGUGAAAGAUUUGAUGGAUUAUGGAACAAGGAGUGGAAAGAGCCUAAGCUUGGGGAUUCCCAUGGCACCCCCAAGAUAUUCUAAGGACACCAAAAAGCCAAAGCUUGGGGAUGCCCCGGAAGGCAUCCCCUCUUUCCUCUACUUUCAUCGGUAACUUUACUUGGAGCUAUAUUUUUAUUCACCACAUGAUAUGUGUUUUGCUUGGAGCGUCUUGUAUGAUUUGAGUCUUUGCUUUUUAGUUUACCACAAUCAUCCUUGAUGUACACACCUUUUGAGAGAGCCAUACAUGAUUUGGAAAUUAUUAGAAUACUCUAUGUGCUUCACUUAUAUCUUUUGAGUUAUAUAGUUUUGCUCUAGUACUUCACUUAUAUCUUUUAGAGCACGGUGGUGGAUUUGUUUUAUAGAAACUAUUGAUCUCUCAUGCUUCACUUAGAUUAUUUUGAGAGUCUUAAAUAGCAUGGUAAUUUGCUUAAAUAAUCCUAAUAUGCUAGGUAUUCAAGUUUAGUAAAAACUUUCUUAUGAGUGUGUUGAAUACUAAGGGAAGUUUGAUGCUUGAUGAUUGUUUUGAGAUAUGGAGGUAAUAAUAUCAAAGUAGUGCUAGUUGAGUAGUUGUGAAUUUGAGAAAUGCUUGUGUUGAAGUUUGCAAGUCCCGUAGCAUGCACGUAUGGUAAACGUUAUGUAACAAAUUUGAAACAUGAGGUGUUUUUUGAUUGUCCUCCUUAUGAGUGGCGGUCGGGGACGAGCGAUGGUCUUUUUCUACCAAUCUAUCCCCCUAGGAGCAUGCGUGUAGUGCUUGGUUUUCGAUGACUUGUAGAUUUUUGCAAUAAGUAUGUGAGUUCUUUAUGACUAAUGUUGAGUCCAUGGAUUAUACGCACUCUCACCCUUCCAUCAUUGCUAGCCUCUUCGGUACCGUGCAUUGCCCUUUCUCACAUUGAGAGUUGGUGCAAACUUCGCCGGUGCAUCCAAACCCCGUGAUAUGAUACGCUCUUUCACACAUAAACCUCCUUAUAUCUUCCUCAAAACAGCCACCAUACCUACCUAUUAUGGCAUUUCCAUAGCCAUUCCGAGAUAUGUUGCCAUGCAACUUUCCACCAUUCCGUUUAUCAUGACACAUCCAUCAUUGUCAUAUUGCUUAGCAUGAUCAUGUAGUUGAUAUAGUAUUUGUGGCAAAGCCACCAUUCAUAAUUCUUUCAUACAUGUCACUCUUGGUUCAUUGCAUAUCCCGGUAGACCGCCGGAGGCAUUCAUAUAGAGUCAUACUUUGUUCUAGUAUCAAGUUGUAAUCAUUGAGUUGUAAAUAAAUAGAAGUGUGAUGAUCAUCAUUUUCUAGAGCAUUGUCCCAAGUGAGGAAUAAAAAAAGAGAAAGGCCAUAAAAAAAAGAGAAGGCCCAAAAAAAAGAGAGAAAAAGAGAGAAGGGACAAUGUUACUAUCCUUUGCCACACUUUUGCUUCAAAGUAGCACCAUAAUCUUCAUGAUAGAGAGUCUCUUGUUUUGUCACUUUCAUAUACUAGUGGGAAUUUUUCAUUAUAGAACUUGGCUUGUAUAUUCCAACAAUGGGCCUCCUCAAGUGCCCUAGGUCUUCGUGCGCAAGCAAGUUGGAUGCACACCCACUUAGUUUCUUUUGUUGAGCUUUCAUACAUUUAUAGCUCUAGUGCAUCCGUUGCAUGGAAAUCCCUACUCCUUGCAUUAACAUCAGUCCAUGGGCAUCUCCAUAGCUCAUUGAUUAGCCUCGUUGAUGUGAGACUUUCUCCUUUUUGUCUUCUCCACAUAACCCCCAUCAUCAUAUUCUAUUCCACCCAUAGUGCUAUGUCCAUGGCUCGCGCUCAUAUAUUGCGUGAAGGUUUAUAAGUUUGAGAUUACUAAAGUAUGAAACAAUUGCUUGGCUUGUCAUCGGGGUUGUGCAUGAUGAGAGCAUUCUUGUGUGACGAAAAUGGAGCAUGACUAAACUAUAUGAUUUUGUAGGGAUGAACUUUCUUUGGCCAUGUUAUUUUGAGAAGACAUAAUUGCUUAGUUAGUAUGCUUGUAGUAUUAUUAUUUUUAUGUCAAUAUGAACUUUUAUCUUGAAUCUUUCGGAUCUGAAUAUUCAUACCACAAUUAAGAAGAAUUACAUUGAAAUUAUGCCUAGUAGCACUCCGCAUCAAAAAUUCUGUUUUUAUCAUUUACCUACUCGAGGACGAGCAGGAAUUAAGCUUGGGGAUGCUUGAUACGUCUCCAACGUAUCUAUAAUUUUUGAUUGCUCCAUGCUAUAUUAUCUUCUGUUUUGGACAUUAUUGGGCUUUAUUAUUCACUUUUAUAUUAUUUUUGGGACUAACCUAUUAACCGGAGGCCCAGCCCAGAAUUGCUGUUUUUUUGCCUAUUUCAGAGUUUCGCAGAAAAAGAAUAUCAAACGGAGUCCAAACGGAAUGAAACCUUCGGGAGCGUGAUUUUUGGAACGAACAAGAUCCAGGAGACUUGGACCCUACGUAAGAGAAGCUUCCAGGAUGCCACGAGGUAGGGGGCGCGCCUACCCCCCAGGGCGCGCCCUCCACCCUCGUGGGCCCCCUGUUGCUCCACCGACGUACUCCUUCCUCCUAUAUAUACCUACGUACCCCCAAACGAUCAGAACAGGAGCCAAAAACCUAAUUCCACCGCCGCAACCUUCUGUACCCACGAGAUCCCAUCUUGGGGCCUGUUCCGGAGCUCCGCCGGAGGGGGCAUCCAUCACGGAGGGCUUCUACAUCAACACCAUAGCCUCUCCGAUGAAGUGUGAGUAGUUUACCUCAGACCUUCGGGUCCAUAGUUAGUAGCUAGAUGGCUUCUUCUCUCUUUUUGGAUCUCAAUACAAUGUUCUCCCCCUCUCUCGUGGAGAUCUAUUCGAUGUAAUCUUCUUUUUGCGGUGUGUUUGUUGAGACCGAUGAACUGUGGGUUUAUGAUCAAGAUUAUCUAUGAACAAUAUUUGAAUCUUCUCUGAAUUCUUUUAUGUAUGAUUGGUUAUCUUUGCAAGUCUCUUCGAAUUAUCAGUUUGGUUUGGCCUACUAGAUUGAUCUUUCUUGCAAUGGGAGAAGUGCUUAGCUUUGGGUUCAAUCUUGCGGUGUCCUUUCCCAGUGACAGUAGGGGCAGCAAGGCACGUAUUGUAUUGUUGCCAUCGAGGAUAACAAGAUGGGUUUUUUUAUCAUAUUGCAUGAAUUUAUCCCUCUACAUCAUGUCAUCUUGCUUAAGGCGUUACUCUGUUUUCAUGAACUUAAUACUCUAGAUGCAUGCUGGAUAGCGGUCGAUGAGUGGAGUAAUAGUAGUAGAUGCAGGCAGGAGUCGGUCUACUUAGCUCGGACGUGAUGCCUAUAUACAUGAUCAUACCUAGAUAUUCUCAUAACUAUGCUCAAUUCUGUCAAUUGCUCAACAGUAAUUCGUUCACCCACCGUAAAAUACUUAUGCUCUUGAGAGAAGCCACUAGUGAAACCUAUGGCCCCCGGGUCUAUCUUCAUCAUAUUAAUCUCCCAACACUUAUUUAUUUCCUUUGCUUUUUUACUUUGCUUUUAUUUUACUUUGCAUCUUAUCAUAAAAAUACCAAAAAUAUUAUCCUAUCAUAUCUAUCAGAUCUCACUCUCGUAAGUGACCGUGAAGGGAUUGACAACCCCUUAUCGCGUUGGUUGCAAGGAUUUAUUUGUUUUGUGUAGGUACGAGGGACUCGCGCGUAGCCUCCUACUGGAUUGAUACCAUGGUUCUCAAAAACUGAGGGAAAUACUUACGCUACUUUGCUGCAUCACCCUUUCCUCUUCAAGGAAAAACCAAUGCAGUGCUCAAGAGGUAGCAGCCCCCUUAAUACAAGCGCGAGCUUACGGUCCAAUGCGGCGCGCGCCGCUCAGUCACUGACGUCAAAAAGAGCUUCGGCUAAUACCAUGAUGUCAGUUUGCCCAUAUCUUGUCCCACGUGGCGGUCAGUGCGUAUAAGGUCAACGACCCAACUCAGAUCAAAUACCAAGAUCUCGUUAAGCGUGUUAUUAUGAAGUAACCGCGGACGCCGACCAGGGCCAGGCCCACCACUCUCCUAGGUGGUCUCAACCUUCCGUGUCGCUCCGCCACAAAGUAACAGUCGGGGGUCGUCGGGAACCCAGGCCGACCUCUACCGGGAUGGAGCCACCUGCCCCUUCAGCCCCCAUCUCCGAACAGUAUCAUAAGUAAUGUAACAGUAUAAAGUAUAUAGCAUAUGCCCGUGAUCACCUCCCGAAGUGAUCACGGCCUAGUAGUAUAGCAUGGCAGACGGACAAGAGUGUAGGGCCACUGAUGGAAUACUAGCAUCCUAUAUUAAGCAUUUAAGAUUGCAGGUAAGGGUAACAACUGUAGCAACAAUGACAGGCUAUGCAGCAGAAUAGGAUUAACCGAAAAUAGUAACAUGCUACACUACUCUAAUGCAAGCAGUAGAGAGAAGGAAUAGGCGAUAUCUGGUGAUCAAGGAGGGGGCUUGCCUGGUUGCCCUGGCAAGAAGGAGGGGUCGUCAACACCGUAGUCGAUCGGGGUACCAGCAUCAGCGUCAGUCUCGUAGUCUACCGGAGAGAAGAGGGGGAAGAAACAAUAAAUAUAAUGCAAACAUAAGCAUGACAAUGCAUGACAUGACUACGAGCGGUGCUAGGUGUGCCCUAACAUGGUAGGAGGUGAUACCGGUGAAGGGGGAAACAUCCGGGAAAGUAUCCCCGGUGUUUCGCGUUUUUGGACAAAUGAACUGGAGGGGGAAAGUUGCGUGUUUGCUACGCUAGGGAUGUAUGGCGGACGAACGGGGUGCGUAUCAGGAUUUGUCUUGUCGUUCUGAGCAACUUUCAUGUACAAAGUAUUUUCAUCCGAGUUACGAUUAUUUUUCUAUGAUUUUUCGAAGUUUUUAAAUAUUUUCUAGAAUUCCUGGAAUUGUUUAAAUCGAAUUUAAGGCAGAAUGUGCAUUUGUUACCUAGUGUUACCCUAGCCUAUGUGUAUGACACUGGGACCCGUGGGGCUGGUCAACCAUUUUACUUUGACUGGUCAAAAGGUGAGGUAUGUCCCACAUGUCAUAGGCAUCUAAAUUAAAUUAGUGUCUAGAUUAGAAUGGGGCCACAUGUCAUAGGCUAUUAGGCUAAUCUAGCACUAAACUGAUACUAACUAAACAGCAGAAUUAGUCCUAGAACUAAUCUAGCUAAUUAAAUUAGACCUAACUAGUUUGGGCCGGCCGCACACACACUCACACACACGUGCACUCACACAGCACACUACACACAAUGCUAGAGGUUAAAUCUGUUUUCUGUUAACAGAAGAUAGCAUUUUGUGAUUUUAUAGGACUUAAACCAUGCAUCAAAUGGAUUUGGUCCAGUGGUACAAAAUGCAGUUUGUCAAAUAUACUACCUUUACAUAAUAAUUUUGCUCUUGUUAGUAGUUGUUUAGUCGUUGUUUAGGGGCAGUCCAGGGGGUUACUCAAUGUAAUAUCAGUAAAGCUAGCUGCAUCCACAGUAGUUAGCAGCAGCAGCAGUACAGCAAAGCGGGUGGCUGGACAAGGGUGCGGGGCUGCGCGGGCGCAGGCUGUGAGCCGUGAGCGGCGCGCGGCACAGGGGCAUCGGGCGUGCAGAGGCGUGGACGGGCACGAACUGCGCACGGGGAGAGGCGCCGCUACGAUGUGGUGAGCGCAGGUGGAAGCACGACGGUGCGCGCCGGUGGUCUACAGCGGCGCCCAACAGAAUGGCGGCGGCGUGCGAAACUCGCUGUUCUGGCGACCAAAUGGCCGGCCGCGAGCAUCAAACGGGCGAGCACGAUGCGCCGAUCCUAACUACGCAAGCGACAGUUGUUGGGGAUGGCCGGAACGACGACAACGGCGAUGGCCGAGCGGUGGCCGGAGCAAGAGCUCGAGGGGAUCGAGUCUAUGGGACGCGCCAGAGUCAACUGUGAGGGGGAGGAGCUGCAGGAGCUCACCGCGGAGUCUUCUGAUGCCCGUGGCGAAGCCGAGGACGGCCGGAGCAAUGUAGACCGAAGAGAAGCAGUGGCGGCCAGCGAUGAUGAAGAUGGAGUCGAUCGCGAGCGCUGGCGACGACCCAGAGCAAUCUUGCACCGGGAAGAUGAGGACGAAGAAGGCGAGCUCUCCGGUGCAGUCCUGGGCGUCAGGGAGGCGACCGGCCGCGACUGCGUCAGGACAACGGUGAGCGCGGCGGCCGCGGUCUCGGGCGAGGUAGAUCUGAUGGGGCGAGUGAGGUGGAGAGGGGGGAUGAGAGAGUGCGUGAGAAAUAUCUGCGANNNNNNNNNNNNNNNNNNNNNNNNNNNNNNNNNNNNNNNNNNNNNNNNNNNNNNNNNNNNNNNNNNNNNNNNNNNNNNNNNNNNNNNNNNNNNNNNNNNNNNNNNNNNNNNNNNNNNNNNNNNNNNNNNNNNNNNNNNNNNNNNNNNNNNNNNNNNNNNNNNNNNNNNNNNNNNNNNNNNNNNNNNNNNNNNNNNNNNNNNNNNNNNNNNNNNNNNNNGGUGGCGGCCUUAUCCUCCUGGUGAACGCCGACGAGGGGGUUGGGCGGCGAUGAGCGCGUGCGGGCGCUCGGUCGGACGCGCCCGAGGAACAGUGAAGAGGAGCAAGGGGUUUGAGUGGGCCAGCUGGGCCGACUGGACCUGCCCAGCUGCUUAGGCCCAGGUAGAGGGGGCUUUUGUCUUUUCUUUUCUUUUAAAACUUUUAUGUUUUAUUUUAUUUUCAAAAAGCAAAAUAGUUGUAUAAAAUAUUAAGCAUGCACCUAAACUAUAAUUAUAACUUAGGGCACUUCUAUAAUUAACUUGGCACCAAACUAAAGUAGUUUAGUAUUUUUAUAAAGUAACAAGCAUUUAAAUAAUUGUUUUAGCCACUAUUUUAAAUAGUUUAGGGCAUUUAAACACUUUUCAAAAAUGUUGAUUCACCACCAGCAUUAACAAAAUACUAUUUUCCACAUGAUUAACAUUUAGUUUUAACAUUUGAAAACUUUUAUUGUUUGCUUGAUUUUGAAUUUGAAUUCGAACCAGUUUCGAACUAACGCGAGAUUAGCAACAGUAAUCGAGGUGACGUGGCAUCAUUAGCAGAGGUUUACUAUAGCUUGAUUAUCCGGGCGUCACAAUUCUCCUCCACUACAAGAAAUCUCAUCCCAAGAUUUAAGAGGGGAGUAAGGGGAAAGUUCUGGUUACGAAAUUCUAACGGAUCUUCCCGUCUUUGGUUGCUCUUCUCGAAGGAGUUGAUCCCUCGCAUUGAUGUCUUCAUUUCUCUAUUUUAGGUCAUCAAGAUGAAGUCGACAUCCUUUUUUUUUGGGAACUCCAUCGUACUUACGAAAGAAUAGAGGGUGGGUAUUCCGAGAGAACGGACCUCUGCAAGGUUGACUAUCUGGUCGAUAACAUCGGGGAAGGUGGCGAAAAGUACUCUCGAAUUGAAACUUAAGAAAAUAUCGAGAGCAAAGUGAGGAGGUAUUCAUGGGAAGUUUCGAGCGGGCAGGCAAUCGUUCGAUGCCUGAAACAGCGCGUGAAAGGGGUUCAAAGCAAUGGGAAUAAGUAUUGUGUCUGAUAUCAGAAUUGAUGAUCUCUUAGACGGCGGCUCGUGAAUUACAUACGAGGCCACACGCGAGGAAUAACUUCGGGAACAGGGGGUGUCCAGGAGAGUCAGGUUUCGAUCCUGUGGAGCUGUGGGUUAUGGGCCCACCAUGCGGGUUAAAAGCAGGGAGGGCGUUGUCAUCUUGCACGAUCAUGAGAGCAAGGCAUGUCAGAGAAGAGACUAUCAGUUAUGUUGGCAACAAUAUCGGUACCAAGGGCGAGGGAUGAAGAGAACCAAUUUCCUGCUCGUUGAACAAGGUGGACCAAUAGGCAAAGUUCUCGUCCAUCGGUGGUUACCGGAAUAUCAUCAACAAUAGUAACAGGGUCUUACUGACAGAGUUGUACACUGAGGUGUUUGCAUAAGCAGAAAAUAUUACUGCUUAGAUCAUAUUGAUCACAAGAAAAGUUAAACAAGACAAUGGAAAGGAAAAUGUGAUUAUUAGAUUAAACAGAACAAUGGAAAGGAAAAUGUGUUUAAACACAUAUUUCAGGGGUAUAUCCUUCCCAAGGACAAGCAGAGCAUGAUAUACGUGGUAGGACAUAAUGUAGAAAACUCUUUAGGUAAGGCGAGAGAAAUUUCAUGACAUUACCCAUGCAACGGUGUUUGGAUAAUUGAGCAAGAAACAUUUUGCAUUGGGCUUCAAAUGUUCUUGUUGAAAAUCGGAGUACCAUAGGCAUGCUUCGAGAUAGCAUUGACAUGGUCAUCAGGUGAAGAUCAGACUUUGGGACCACAAAGGAUCCAUCAGGAAUUUCUAGAACAUAUCAUGCAAUUUUAUCAGGAAAAAGAUGAGGACGUGGCCGAUGGGUCCGGCAGCAAUCCAUUGACAUGUCAAAAAGGAUGUAUUUACAACAUUAUCUAAACAAGUUUGUGUUGGGGGAGGCAAGAAUGUUGUCGAUGAUAACACAAACCAUCAAGGGGCAAGGAUGGUAUUUUCUCAUCAUGAAUUUGAUUGAUAUCCUGGAAGAGCUCAGAAUGUUGAUGAUGAUCACGACACAUUUGUCAUGAGAUUUCAUGAAGAUGUAAUCGAUCGACGAUGACAUCAAGUCAAAGGAAUGAUGAAGCGAAAGGUUAUUGGAACCAUGGGUACGUCACAAACUUGAAAUCAAGCCUGUUAUUCAAGGCGAAAAGAUAUGACAAGAAAGAUCGACGUAAGCUUAGCUCAUCGUCGAAAAUUGUGCUUCGGGAAGAAGAACCAGGUAGCACAGUUAAAAUUUGGCACGAUAAUGAUAUAGCCGAUCAUGCUAGGAAUGACUUGAAGGAUUAUUAAACUCGUAAGCAACGAAAAUUACUUAGAUUUAUUGAAUCGGAGUGCGGAAUCGAUUCACUUAUCAGUGUUCUCGGUUGAUGACAACCCAGAACCCGGGGGAAAUCUGAAAUCGGUGAGAAGCAAUACUAGAUGAAGACUCAUAGGGAGCAACACAGUUCUUUGAUAUUCUCGAGAUACCGGGGGUAAUACUCGACGACAGAUCAAAGUAGAGGUUGGACUGGGGUAUUGCUCUGCAGAAGACAAGUGCUUAAACUUGCACGAGAAAUGGUAUUUAAAGGAGAACAUGGUCGAAACCACGAUUGCAAAAGACCAGAUCCCAGAUAUAAGAUGAACUUAUACCAAAGGAAUAAUUAAUUUAAGAGAAGCUUUAAUGAUAAGAUCUACAUCGUAUCCAUGGGCAUGAACACCAAGUUCAAGGUCGACUCCCACUUCUCCAAUGCAUAACCUUUCAUUCACUUCUCGUAUUUCGAAAAUGACAUUAGUUGUGGAAAGUUUUACCUGGUGCAAUACCAGAUAAGUCUGACCCAUGAAAUCUUUCGGGUUCACAAAGAUUAGGGAAGGCGUUGGUUCAACCCAUCGGGGCAUCUUAGGAACAUAUACCAACAACUUCAUAGUAAACAUCACCAGCUCGAGAGCAGAGUAUGGUUGGCCAAAACAGAUAAUAUGAUUUAUCAAUGGCAUUAUGUAUCAGGGAAAGAACUUCUCAAGAUUUUUGGAUACGAAGGACACUGUCAGAUGAUAAUUCAACAAAGGACCCGAUGGUCCAUAACGGAGCUGAUGUGUGCAUCGGCGCACAACCAUAGGAAGAAUCAAUGCAAAGGCAUUAGAUCAUAGAAACAACUGGCUAAUUCAAAACUCAAAGGCAAAGAAUCAUAAUUUCCAAAUCAAGGGAUCAGAGGCAAACACUCUGAUUAAGGAUGGAUACGUUGAGUAGGCUUAGGGUACAAUCAACGGCAAUUGGAUUGGUUGAGAACCAGCUCACGUUUAAAAUGACGUCUGAGCCGGAAGGAUAAUUUUCAGGGAAUAACUUAUGAUUGUGUGCAUUCACACACAUGUUGAAUCAAUGGACUCAAAAUGAUAGUGACAAAGGAUAGUAAAUGAAUAUUGCUGGUCUUAAGGAACGCAACCAAAAUGCAAGCACACAAUUGCAGAGCAAUAGCGGGCAGAGGAUUACCAAAAGAUCCGAUAACCUCUCAAUGUAUCUUGUGAAUCAUAUGAACAACGAGGGAGGAACGGAUACUCGGUAAGUGUGAGGAAUUAUCCGUAGGGGGUAUUCAUGUGGCAAAGAACUGCAAGGCAGUAAGCUCAAGGAUUCUUAAAAAGUUUGGAGAAUAAUUCGAUGCAUCUUGUAAUAACAAGAGCAACUGGGAAUGAAAGUAAGAUGACAGGUGCAUGUAAUCCUCCAUAGGGAUAACGGUUGUAGGGAAUUGCAAAAGCAACGGGAACAAGGUCUCGAGUGAACACUGGAGAGUAUCUUCCGAAUCUUCUAGUGUAGUUGGCGAUCAUCUGGACUGAAGGGGCUCUCCGGGAGAAAAUAUUAUCGAGAACCUAGAGUCAGAGUUAGUAAAAAUCGUUUAACCCGAAUAGAAGAGAUGUCAGUGUCCCAGAGUAUAGGUGGAGGAAUAAAAGAUCCUACUACCAUCCAAUGGUGACGUGGGCCCGUAAGCCACACAGCCAUGUUAGUAAAAGUUUUAGCAAUGACUAGACUCAACUUCGGCCAAGGAGUUGCAAGGGGGAUUCCUACAGGCAGUCGGCUCAGAUACCAACUUGUGACGCCCCCGAUUCAAUCGUACACUAAUCAUGCACGCAAACGUGUACGAUCAAGAUCAGGGACUCACGGGAAGAUAUCACAACACAACUCUAAAAACAUAAAUAAGUCAUACAAGCAUCAUAAUACAAGCCAGGGGCCUCGAGGGCUUGAAUACAAGUGCUUGAUCAUAGACGAGUCAGCGGAAGCAACAAUAUCUGAGUACAGACAUAAGUUAAACAAGUUUGCCUUAAGAAGGCUAGCACAAACUGGGAUACAGAUCGAAAGAGGCGCAGACCUCCUGCCUGGGAUCCUCCUAAACUACUCCUGGUCGUCGUCAGUGGCCUGCACGUAGUAGUAGGCACCUCCAGUGUAGUAGGAGUCGUCGUUGAUGGUGGCGUCUGGCUCCUGGGCUCCAGCAUCUGGUUGCGACAACCGAGAGGAAAGGAAGGGGGAAAAGCAACCGUGAGUACUCAUCCAAAGUACUCGCAAGCAAGGAUCUACACUACAUAUGCAUGGGUAUCUGUGUAAAGGGGCAAUAUCGGUGGACUGAACUGCAGAAUGCCAGAAUAAGAGGAGGUAGCUAGUCCAGUCGAAGACUACACUUCUGGCAGCCUCCAUCUUGCAGCAUGUAGAAGAGAGUAGAUGGUAAGUUCACCAAGUAGCACCGUAUAGCAUAAUCCUACCCGGCGAUCCCCUCCUCGUCGCCCUGUGAGAGAGUGAUCACCGGCUUGUAUUUGGCACUUGAAAUGGUGUGUUUUAUUAAGUAUCCGGUUCUAGUUGUGAUAAGGUCAAGGUACAACUCCGGGUCGCCUGUUACCGAGGACACGGCUAUUCGAAUAGAUCAACUUCCCUGCAGGGGUGCACCACAUUACCCGACACGCUCGAUCCCUCUGGCCGGGCACACUUUCCUGGGUCAAGUCCGGCCUCGGGAGAUCAACACGUCGCAGCCCUACCUAGGCUCAACAGAGAGGUCAGCACGCCGGUCUAAAUCCUAUGCGCGCAGGGGUCUGGGCCCAUCGCCCAUUGCACACCUGCACGUUGCGAACGCGGCCGGAAGCAGACCUAGCCCCCUUAAUACAAGUGCGAGCUUACGGUCCAAUGCGGCGCGCGCCGCUCAGUCGCUGACGUCAAAAAGAGCUUCGGCUGAUACCACGACGCCGGUUGCCCAUAUCUUGUCCCACGUGGCGGUUAGUGCGUAUAAGGUCAACGACCCAACUCAGAUCAAAUACCAAGAUCUCGUUAAGCGUGUUAUUAUGAAGUAACCGCGGACGCCGACCAGGGCCAGGCCCACCUCUCUCCUAGGUGGUCUCAACCUGCCUUGUCGCUCCGCCACAAAGUAACAGUCGGGGGCCGUCGGGAACCCAGGUCCACCUCUACCGGGCUGGAGCCACCUGCCCCUUCAGCCCCCAUCUCCGAAUAUUAUCAUAAGUAAUGUAACAGUAUAAAGUAUAUAGCAUAUGCCCGUGAUCACCUCCCGAAGUGAUCACGGCCCAGUAGUAUAGCAUGGCAGACGGACAAGAGUGUAGGGCCACUGAUGGAAUACUAGCAUGCUAUACUAAGCAUUUAGGAUUGUAGUUAAGGCUAACAACUGUAGCAACAAUGACAGUCUAUGCAGCAGAAUACGAUUAAACGAAAAUAGUAACAUGCUACACUACUCUAAUGCAAGCACUAGAGAGAAGGAAUAGGCGAUAUCUGGUGAUCAGGGGGGCUUGCCUGGUUGCCCUGGCAAGAAGGAGGGUCGUCAACACCGUAGUCAAUUGGGGUACCAGCAGCAGCGUCAGUCUCGUAGUCUACCGGAGAAAAGAGGGGGAAGAAACAAUAAAUAUAAUGCAAACAUAAGCAUGACGAUGCAUGACAUGACUACGAGCGGUGCUAGGUGUGCCCUAACGCGGUAGGAGGUGAUACCGGUGAAGGGGGAACCAUCCGGGAAAGUAUCCCCGGUGUUUCGCGUUUUUGGACAAAUGAACCGGAGGGGGAAAGUUGCGUGUUUGCUAUGCUAGGGAUGUGUGGCGGACGAACGGGGUGUGUAUCCGGAUUCGUCUCGUCGUUCUGAGCAACUUUCAUGUACAAAGUAUUUUCAUCCGAGUUACGAUUAUUUUUCUACGAUUUUUCGAAGUUUUUAAAUAUUUUCUAGAAUUCCUGGAAUUGUUUAAAUCGAAUUGAAUGCAGAAUGUGCAUUUGUUAGCUAGUGUUACCCUAGCCUAUGUGUAUGACAGUGGGACCCGUGGGGCUGGUCAACCAUUUUACUUUGACUGGUCAAAAGGUGAGGUAUGUCCCACAUGUCAUAGGCAUCUAAAUUAAAUUAGUGUCUAGAUUAGAAUGGGGCCACAUGUCAUAGGCUAUUAGGCUAAUCUAGCACUAAACUGAUACUAACUAAAUAGCAGAAUUAAUCCUAGAACUAAUCUAGCUAAUUAAAUUAGACCUAACUAGUUUGGACCCGUGGCGAAGCCGAGGACGGCCGGAGCAAUGUAGACCGAAGAGAAGCAGUGGCGGCCAGCGAUGAUGAAGAUGGAGUCGAUCGCGAGCGCCGGCGACGACCCAGAGCAAUCUUGCACUGGGAAGAUGAGGACGAAGAAGGCGAGCUCUCCGGUGCAGUCCUAGGCGUCGGGGAGGCGACCGGCCGCGACUGCGUUAGGACGACGGUGAGCGCGGCGGCCGCGGUCUCGGGCGAGGCANNNNNNNNNNNNNNNNNNNNNNNNNNNNNNNNNNNNNNNNNNNNNNNNNNNNNNNNNNNNNNNNNNNNNNNNNNNNNNNNNNNNNNNNNNNNNNNNNNNNNNNNNNNNNNNNNNNNNNNNNNNNNNNNNNNNNNNNNNNNNNNNNNNNNNNNNNNNNNNNNNNNNNNNNNNNNNNNNNNNNNNNNNNNNNNNNNNNNNNNNNNNNNNNNNNNNNNNNNNNNNNNNNNNNNNNNNNNNNNNNNNNNNNNNNNNNNNNNNNNNNNNNNNNNNNNCGGGUGGGGGGGGGGCUCGGUGGCGGCCUUAUCCUCCUGGCGAACGCCGACGAGGGGGUUGGGCGGCGACGAGCGCGUGCGGGCGCUCGGUCGGACGCGCCCGAGGAACAGUGAAGAGGGGCAAGGGGUUUGAGUGGGCCGGCUGGGCCGACUGGACCUGCCCAGCUGCUUAGGCCCAGGUAGAGGGGGCUUUUGUCUUUUCUUUUCUUUUAAAACUUUUAUGUUUUUUUUUUAUUUUCAAAAAGCAAAAUAGUUGUAUAAUAUACUAAGCAUGCACCUAAACUAUAAUUAUAACAUAGGGCACUGCUAUAAUUAACUUGGCACCAAACUAAAGUAGUUUAGUAUUUUUAUAAAGUAACAAGCAUUUAAAUAAUUGUUUUAGCCACUAUUUUAAAUAGUUUAGGGCAUUUAAACACUUUUCAAAAAUGUUGGUUCACCACCAGCAUUAACAAAAUAAUAUUUUCCACAUGAUUAACAUUUAGUUUUAACAUUUGAAAACUUUUAUUGUUUGCUUGAUUUUGAAUUUGAAUUCGAACCGGUUUCGAACUAACACGAGAUUAGCAACAGUAAUCGAGGUGACGUGGCAUCAUUAGCAGAGGUUUACUGUAGCUUGAUUAUCCGGGCAUCACAUGCGCACAAUAAGUCAAUAACCAACCAAUAUACGCUGAUACAAACUAAACUGUUUGUGCGAGCUUUUAUGUAAACAAGUGGCUUAAUGUUGAUCUCCAACUUUUUUUGAAAUUGUGCCCAUAUAGAUUUUUGGAAACACCUUGAGUACACUUCAAAAAUCAUCCAAUCAUUACGUUUUUGCGCAACACCACUUAUCAUGUUGUUUGUUGUGUGAAGAUUUAAGAUUUCAAGCAAUUUGCUGAUAUCGUCCAGUGUGUAUAAGGGGUGAUUUUUUUCUCCCAUUGCAACGCACGGGCAUGUUUGCUAGUAAUAAUAAAGGGGUUAUUGCUUGUUGCGGUACGUCAUAGAAAUUAUCACAAAAAUUGUAAAAUAUCACCCACCAAUGCCACCUAUAACUAUAAAAAAAGUCUCACACAUGGGAAUACCCGCCUGGGCUGCCCCAUGCAGUAGGGACCUCUUAUACUGCGCUUUGCGUGUUGGGAGAAAAUGCAGCGCGUUAGUUUGGGCCGGCGCAUGUCCGCGCGGCCUGUCUUUUAAAUUUGGUUUUUAAUUAUUUUUGUUUUUCCCAUUUUUCGUCUUUUUCCACUUUAAAUAAUUUUGGACUUAAAAAAAUCCCAAACUUCAAAAAAUUAGAAUUUUGCAAAAAAUAUUUAAUAAAUCAUAAAAUGUUUGUGGAUUGAAAAAAAUGUUCUUGAUUUUAUAAAAAAAUGUUUGCUUAUUCAAAAAAUGUUCAAAAUUUUGAAAACAAAUGUUCGGGAAAUGAAAAAAUCAUGAUUUUCUAAAAAGUUCGUGUAUUAAAUAAUGUUAAUGAAACUGAAAAAAAAACCUGCCAAUUCACGAAAUGUUCAUGAAUGGAAAAAUAUCAUAAAAAUUCGACAACUGUUUGUGACUUAAAAUAGUUUAUUCUCUCAUAAAAUGUUCGCUGAUUCAAAAAAUGAUCACGCAUUUUAAAAAAUGUUCGUUAAGUCAAAAAAAAUGAGCAUGAAUUUCAAAAAUUGUUCCACCAAUUUCCAAAACUAUGUUCGUCCAUUCUAGAAAUUUUCGCUGAUUCAAGAAAAUUGUUAAAAGAUUGUUCACAAUUUUAAAAAGUGUUUACAAAAAUUAUUUAAUGUUCUGGAUUUUAGAAAAUGUUCGAAAAUUUGUAAAAAUGUUAAUGAAUUUUAAAAAAAUUCACGGUUUCAAAUAUGUUCAUGAGUUUCAUGAAAUGUUCAUGAUUUCACGAAAUUGAGAGUGAUAGUGUAUCUCGGUGAUGCCGCAAAAUGUGAUCAUGACCAUUGGAGAUGAUGAUUUUUUUUUCUCCCAUUGCAACACACGGGCCUAGUUUAGAAUGAAGAUCCAAGAGCCCAGCUUUAAAUUAACAAAUCCAUCAACUGAUCAAGAUUACAACCAACAAGAACGCCAUCAACAGAGAGCAAGGAAAAAAGAAAAGCCGAAAACUGAAAGAAACAAGGAUAUAAAUAAAACAGCUUACAACACAACCCACUCGACAAGCACUCAAACUAAAAGUAAUGAAGCGUUGCUUGAAGAAGGGGUAGCCCUUUGCACCUGGUCACCGAAGCAGAAGACAAAUGCACUACAAAAGAGCAGCCAACCACCUAAAGAACGGUACCACUGAUGCAUGAUUAAGGACCAUGGAGAUCGUCCACCUUCUUUCUCCCUCACCGAAGAGGGACCCUACCCCCUCGUUUGGGCUUCAAGGACGCCACACCGUCGGGCAAAGGAGUCGUUCACCCUAGACCUACGAAAUGUGUUGUCUUGAGGCCACCAAGGCAGAACAACUGCACAUGACCCCCUUGCCACAGCGGCCAGGCCUCGACAACUACAAUGUUGCCGCCCGCCCAUGACCAAACCAGAAGAGGAUAAGCUGCAGGGGAAACAUACUGAAACCAAAGGAACAUAUGGCUCAAGGAAAACGACAAGCAUCCGAGCAAGUGUUACAACCACUAAGAAGGCUCGGGGACUUGAUGAACCAUCGCGAGGCUGAUGUUGAGGAAGGGAUCCCAUGCAGGAUCGAGGGUGACGAACCACCACGCAAUAGGAGGACGUCCAUGACCGAGCACUAAAACAAAGUAUACCAGAUCAGAACUCGCCGUCUCGACACGAAAGCUGCUUCUCAAACAAAGCUGUCACCUUUCACACAUAGCACCGCUCACAUGCACCCCAUGCUAGACGCACCCCCUCCCCUAGGGAGGUCAUGACGCCACUGCCUUAUGCGAAUGGGAUUGCAGGCUUUCACCUAGGAUCAAAGGAGAAAGGGAACCUCGGCGGUGCCUCAUAGGAGGAGCGCAACUCUUACGGGCGUUGCGACCAUCGUGGUCAGCAAGCCAAGCAGGGAGCCUCUCUUGGCCCCGAUACUGAUACCACAUAGUCCGUCAUACAACCCAACCGGUGACCAGCGACUAGAUUUGCCGAGAAGUGAGCCAGAGGGAAGGUGAGGCACCGACCAUUAAAUCUGAUGCCAGAGACCACCGCCACAACCCAUGAACCAUCCACCACUCGGCGUCGCCUCGUCGGCCCGCAUCAAUAGACACCCUUGCCGCUCAAACAAUGUCGCCUCUCCACCCGAGGCCGCCACCUCGGCACCCAAUGUCCCUCCACCCGAGCAAGGGCGUAGCAGAGACAUCACCACCACCCUCAUCAGCGGCCGCACAGGCAAUCUCAGUGGCUGCCUNNNNNNNNNNNNNNNNNNNNNNNNNNNNNNNNNNNNNNNNNNNNNNNNNNNNNNNNNNNNNNNNNNNNNNNNNNNNNNNNNNNNNNNNNNNNNNNNNNNNNNNNNNNNNNNNNNNNNNNNNNNNNNNNNNNNNNNNNNNNNNNNNNNNNNNNNNNNNNNNNNNNNNNNAGUCACCCUCGAAUCGCCCGCGUGGGGACGAUGCGAGAGCCAGGCAUUUUUUUCCAUUGAACUUCCCACCAUAAAUAGAGCCAGUGUACUUUUUGCAACAAGAAAGACAAGUCAGCAGGACAUCUCAACACCGUGAAGGAGCAUAUGACAUGUUUGUUCACUGAGUCUUGUAACCACUUUAAAACAUUUCAAGAGAUUCUUAUGUGUGACUGAAGUACUCAUCCCGUGAAUUUCAUGACUAGUGUGCGUUUCUAUAAAAAUUGAUACAAGUAACUGAGAUGGGAAGGGCAUACUAAGUAGUAACUACAAUAUAUGAAUACUAGAGACCAAAGAAAUGAUAGGCUAUUUUUUCCAGCUGAAUGUCCUUAUUUCUGCCAGGCAAUGCUCAUGAAUGACAGUAAAAGAAUCGAGAAAAUCAAUUUGAUCCUCUCUUUUAAAUAGCACUCCAACCCUUCUCCACAUUCACUUGUGCCUUCCUCAUGGUCCAUGCGCUGAGCUGUGGCACCCUGACCGUGGCACUUCCAUUGUUGAAUGCGUAAAUGUGGGCCCU